UUUCCGUAGGUGAACCUGCGGAAGGAUCAUUACUGAGUUAGGGUCUUUAUGGCCCGACCUCCAUCCCUUUGUUUAAUCUACCAUGUUGCUUUGGCAGGCCCGCUUAGAAAUGGGCCGCCGGAGACCUUUGAGUCUCUGGUCAGUGCCUGCCAGUAGCCUUUCUGAAUUCAUUUAUAACCGUGUCUGAAUAUACAAAGAAAAAUUAAAAUAAAACUUUCAACAACGGAUCUCUUGGUUCUG
rnacentral:misc_RNA from 1 species